rnacentral:rRNA from 1 species
UAGAGCGGCGGACGGGUGAGUAACACGUGGACAAUCUGCCCCCCGGCCCGGGAUAGCCCAGGGAAACCUGGAUUAAUACCGGAUGAGACGGGACCUGCGAUGGCGGGAUCCGGGAAGGGCGCUACGGCGCCGCCGGGGGAUGAGUCUGCGUCCCAUUAGCUAGACGGCGGGGUAACGGCCCACCGUGGCGACGAUGGGUAGCCGGCCUGAGAGGGUGGACGGCCACAUUGGAACUGAGACACGGUCCAGACUCCUACGGGAGGCAGCAGCUAAGAAUCUUCCGCAAUGGGCGAAAGCCUGACGGAGCGAACCGCCGCGUGAACGAAGAAGGCCGUGAGGUUGUAAAGUUCUUUUCGGGAGGGGGAACAACCGUGGCAGGGAAUGGCCGGCGGGAUGACGUGAACUCCCGGAAAUAACGCCCCGGCUAACUACGUGCCAGCCGCCGC